rnacentral:lncRNA from 1 species
AGUCUAUUUCAAAAGUCAGUGCAUAUAAAUUGAAUAUUAAGUCAUAUGGUGUAUAUGGCACUUAAACAUCACUUCCUAACAGGUAAAAACCCAGCUUUCUCUGCUUUGUGAAUAGUGUAUACAUAUUUCUUUCAGAGCCAGUUUUUAGUCUUUUUGCCUUCACCAACAAAAUUACUUCUGUGCACAGUAGAAUUAUUUGGUCUUGUGAUUGGAGUCCUGACAGCAAGUAUUUCUUCACUGGGAGUCGAGACAAAAAGGUGGUUGUCUGGGGUGAGUGCGACUCCACUGAUGACUGUAUUGAGCACAACAUUGGCCCCUGCUCCUCAGUCCUGGACGUGGGUGGGGCUGUGACAGCUGUCAGCGUCUGCCCAGUGCUCCACCCUUCUCAACGAUACGUGGUUGCAGUAGGAUUGGAGUGUGGAAAGAUUUGCUUAUAUACCUGGAAAAAGACUGAUCAAGUUCCAGAAAUAAAUGACUGGACCCACUGUGUAGAAACAAGUCAAAGCCAAAGUCAUACACUGGCUAUCAGAAAAUUAUGCUGGAAGAAUUGCAGUGGAAAAACUGAACAGAAGGAAGCAGAAGGUGCUGAGUGGUUACACUUUGCAAGCUGUGGUGAAGAUCACACUGUGAAGAUACACAGAGUCAAUAAAUGUGCACUGUAAUGGACUUAAUAA